AGAGUUUGAUCAUGGCUCAGGACGAACGCUGGCGGCGUGCCUAACACAUGCAAGUCGAACGGAGUUGUUUUGAAUGAAAUUUUCGGAUGGAUUUUAAAAUAACUUAGUGGCGGACGGGUGAGUAACGCGUGAGUAACCUGCCGAUAAGAGGGGGAUAACGUCUUGAAAAGGACGCUAAUACCGCAUGACGUAUUGAAGCCGCAUGACUUUAAUACCAAAGGAGCAAUCCGCUUAUCGAUGGACUCGCGUCCGAUUAGCUAGUUGGCGGGGUAAUAGCCCACCAAGGCGACGAUCGGUAGCCGGACUGAGAGGUUGAACGGCCACAUUGGGACUGAGACACGGCCCAGACUCCUACGGGAGGCAGCAGUGGGGGAUAUUGCGCAAUGGGGGGAACCCUGACGCAGCAACGCCGCGUGAAGGAUCGAAGGUCUUCGGAUUGUAAACUUCUUUUGUUAAGGACGAAGAAAGUGACGGUACUUAACGAAUAAGCUCCGGCUAACUACGUGCCAGCAGCCGCGGUAAUACGUAGGGAGCGAGCGUUGUCCGGAUUUACUGGGUGUAAAGGGUGCGUAGGCGGCUAUGCAAGUCAGAUGUGAAAUGUAUGGGCUCAACCCAUGAACUGCAUUUGAAACUGCGUAGCUUGAGUGAAGUAGAGGUAGGCGGAAUUCCCUGUGUAGCGGUGAAAUGCGUAGAGAUAGGGAGGAACACCAGUGGCGAAGGCGGCCUUACUGGGCUUUAACUGACGCUCAGGCACGAAAGCGUGGGUAGCAAACAGGAUUAGAUACCCUGGUAGUCCACGCCGUAAACGAUGAUUACUAGGUGUGGGGGGUCUGACCCCCUCCGUGCCGCAGUCAACACAAUAAGUAAUCCACCUGGGGAGUACGGCCGCAAGGUUGAAACUCAAAGGAAUUGACGGGGGCCCGCACAAGCAGUGGAGUAUGUGGUUUAAUUCGAAGCAACGCGAAGAACCUUACCAGGUCUUGACAUCCCGAUGACCGCUCUAGAGAUAGAGUUUUUCUUCGGAACAUUGGAGACAGGUGGUGCAUGGUUGUCGUCAGCUCGUGUCGUGAGAUGUUGGGUUAAGUCCCGCAACGAGCGCAACCCUUGCUAUUAGUUGCUACGCAAGAGCACUCUAAUAGGACUGCCGUUGACAAAACGGAGGAAGGUGGGGACGACGUCAAAUCAUCAUGCCCCUUAUGACCUGGGCUACACACGUACUACAAUGGCUGUAUAACAGAGGGAAGCAAAACUGCGAAGCGGAGCAAAUCCCCAAAAACAGUCCCAGUUCAGAUUGUAGGCUGCAACUCGCCUACAUGAAGAUGGAGUUGCUAGUAAUCGCAGAUCAGAAUGCUGCGGUGAAUACGUUCCCGGGCCUUGUACACACCGCCCGUCACACCAUGGGAGCCGGUAAUACCCGAAGUCAGUAGCCCAACCGCAAGGAGGACGCUGCCGAAGGUAGGAUUGGCGACUGGGGUGAAGUCGUAACAAGGUAGCCGUA
rnacentral:rRNA from 1 species